CACGAAACCGGGAAGUGCUCCGCCCGCGACCUGUCUAUCUGUAACAAGAUAUUCUCAAAUUGGGAAGAGCUCAGACAUCUCUGACUGUCAAAAGACAGAUGACCUAGAACCUGUUCGGAGCUCUGUGGAUCAUUAAUUAAUAAUCCGUCUACUCUACAGCAAUCCCACACGAUGGAUGUAAAGGAUCUCGGAGUAAAAAUACUCAAUCCUUGUCCUGCUUUGGACCCACCCAGAACUACAGCCCCAUACAAUAACACCACUGAAGAAACUGGUAGAAAUCAUGUCAUUAUGUAUAUCAUUGGUGUCAUCAUCAUCUUCAUUAUCGCUGUGACUGUCAUCUGUCUCCGAAGAAAGUGCCAAUCUUGAAAUCUUAAUUUAAGAUGCCAACUGGACGUGACAAAGUGAACAUUGAAAAUCCAGUUGUCCUUUGUGUCAGAGUGCUGGAGUUCGUCAGAAAGAGAACGGGGCAUCAGUUUACUGUCAUGGAUUUGUUGUGUCGUGUCGCGCCGCAUCCACUGAUAGAACAUCACUGGGUUCUAUUUGCUUUUGUCAUGUCGCGCCCCUCUUGACUGGUGUCUGUAGACACGUUGUUUUGGUAUUUGUGAAUCUUAAAG
ensembl:lncRNA